GAUGAACGCUGGCGGCGUGCCUAAUACAUGCAAGUCGAGCGAACAGACGAGGAGCUUGCUCCUCUGACGUUAGCGGCGGACGGGUGAGUAACACGUGGAUAACCUACCUAUAAGACUGGGAUAACUUCGGGAAACCGGAGCUAAUACCGGAUAAUAUAUUGAACCGCAUGGUUCAAUAGUGAAAGACGGUUUUGCUGUCACUUAUAGAAGGAUCCGCGCCGCAUUAGCUAGUUGGUAAGGUAACGGCUUACCAAGGCAACGAUGCGUAGCCGACCUGAGAGGGUGAUCGGCCACACUGGAACUGAGACACGGUCCAGACUCCUACGGGAGGCAGCAGUAGGGAAUCUUCCGCAAUGGGCGAAAGCCUGACGGGGCAACGCCGCGUGAGUGAUGAAGGUCUUCGGAUCGUAAAACUCUGUUAUUAGGGAAGAACAAAUGUGUAAGUAACUAUGCACGUCUUGACGGUACCUAAUCAGAAAGCCACGGCUAACUACGUG
rnacentral:rRNA from 1 species